GGGGGCGACAUGGUUUCGACGCAAGUCGCAAAGCCUUAGGUGCAUGCCGAGGAUGUAGCUUUCCCUCGUAAAAAAAGCUGCCAACUUAAAUAUAGUUGCCAACGACGAAAACUACGCUCUAGCGGCCUAAAUCCCGCUAGCCGUUGACCGGAUGGUGCCUGUGCCUCCGAAUCAACGGUCGUAGCUCACAGGAUCGCAGCUGACGGGUACCGCCUGCACUCGUCACUGUUAAAUCAAUCAGGCUAGUCGAAUGUGAUCCCUAGCUCGUUGGGCAGCGUUCGGCGAAUGUAAUAGACGGGCUAAGCAUGUAGAGCCGACGGUAGAGCUCUUGCGGACGCGGGUUCGAUUCCGCCGCCUCCACCA
rnacentral:tmRNA from 1 species